rnacentral:rRNA from 1 species
AUGAUGGUCGAACUUCAAAGGCAUGUCAUGUUUCCUACUGUGUAUCGCCUCAUGGAGUUGGCAUUGCUACUACCGGUAGCGACGACAACAAUCGAAAGGGCCUUCUCAUCAAUGAAAAUCAUCAAGAUUGAGUUGCGCAGCAAUAUGACAGAUGGUUGGCUUAAUGACUUGACGAUUUGUUAUAUUGAGCGAGAGAUCUUCAAAAGUAUUGAUCUUAGUAAAAUCGAGGAAGAUUUUUAG